rnacentral:lncRNA from 1 species
AAAGGCCAUGGGGUAAAUGGGCAGCUGAAAUAAGAGACCCACACAAAGGUGUUAGAGUUUGGCUGGGCACUUACAACACAGCUGAUGAAGCCGCUAAAGCUUAUGAUGAAGCCGCCAAGCGCAUCCGUGGUGAUAAAGCCAAGCUCAACUUCCCCCCUCAGCCACCACCAACGUCCGAGGCGGCGCCGCCACCAACCUCGGAGGCGGCACCACCACCUGCCAAGAAGCGUUGCAUCUUGGGUCCUGAAACGGCUGCUAUGGCUAGUUUUGAGCAAAUCUUGAACUCGGAG